AUUCUUUUUUUUUUUUUUCUUUCAGCCAUUUCUUUUUAUUUACAGUUUGUGUUCAAUGCAAAUCAAUUCCAUAAGAAGUUACUAUGAAUCAAAGCGUAAAUACACAAACACAAUAUACAAUCCAAAAUAGAUGUACAGCAUUCUGGAAUAAAGCAAAAGAGUGUUCAUUCACACACACAGUAGCUUCAAAACGGUUCGAUCUAAGCAUCAGUGUGUGACCAUGCGAACAAAAGACUUCGGGGAGUGUCUAUUUUUAAAAAGGUUUCUGUGUUUCGAGGCAGUUGUAAAAGAUUUACUGCAGAAUCAAGCCCACUUUUAGGCUUAGGACCAGGUUCUAACUAUCUAAAAAUAUUGACUGAUAACAAAAAGUAUUCCAAAUGUGGCUAUUCUGAUCCAUAGUUGUUUUUUAAAGAAAAAAAAGUAUAUACAGAAAGAGUAUAAAAGUUUGUGAAUUUAAUGCAAAUUAGCUUCCAGUCUUCACUUCCCAAAUACUUGAUUUGUAGUUUUGACUCCUUUACAUUUUUGCCUUCUUAAUUUCAAGAUUUGCAAUUUUGCCUUCAAAACAGAUCUUUUUUUUUAAUUGUAAAAAGUAUUCAACAUAUGCAGAAAUAAAAAGCAUUUUGAUGGCUGGGCGCGGGGGCUCAAGCCUGUAAUCCCAGCACUUUGGGAGGCCGAGGCAGGUGGAUCACCUGAGGUCAGGAGUUCGAAACCAGCCUGGGCAACAUGGUGAAACCCUGUCUCUACUAAAAUUACAAAAAUUAGCCGGGCAUGGUGGCAGGUGCCUGUAAUCCCAGCUACUUGGGAGGCUGAGGCAGGAGAAUCGCUUGAGCCCGGGAGGCAAAUGGUACACUGAUCUGAGAUCACACCACUGCACUCCAGCCUGGGCGACAAAGUGAGACUGUCUAAAAAAUAAUAAUAAUAAAAAGCAUUUUGAAAUUAGUCGCGGUCAAUGCAAUUCUACUCUUUGGAAUCCGUUUAGCUAAAUGAAUAUAAAUAGAAUCAUGGAAGCUUUUUAUAUUACCUGUUUUAUGGCCUUAUAGAAUUAAUGAACCAAAUGAAAACUGAAUCUCCAUUCCACAAUCACAUCCUUUAUUUCUAUUCUUAUUUUCAAGGUAGUAUUAAGUGUCCAUAUUUCUCAAGCCACAUUCAAGGAAAUCAUGUCUUAACUAUUUUGGAUGUUGCCUCUCCUUCAUCUUGUACAUGAAACUCCAGCAGAUUUAAUAUUGGCAUCCAUCAUCUAGUCAAACCUCUCACAUGUUCUUCAAAUCAAUCAAAUUUGGGAUUCUCAACAUUUUCUGUGUCAAUAAAAGGUGUGGAAUUAG
rnacentral:lncRNA from 10 species